rnacentral:rRNA from 1 species
AUUGAACGCUGGCGGCAUGCUUUACACAUGCAGGUCGAACGGCAGCGGGGAGGAGCUUGCUUCUCUGCCGGCGAGUGGCGCACGGGUGAGUAAUACAUCGGAACGUGUCGAGAAGAGGGGGAUAACCACCCGAAAGGGUGGCUAAUACCGCAUAAAUUCUGAGGAAGAAAGCUGGGGACCUAGGAAUAGGCCUAGCGCUUUUUGAGCGGCCGAUGUGGGGUUAGCUGGUUGGUGGGGUAAAGGCUCACCAAGGCGAAGAUCUGUAGCGGGUCUGAGAGGAUGAUCCGCCGCCCUGGGAGUGGGACACGGCCCAGAGUCCUACGGGAGGCAGCAGUGGGGAAUGUUGGACAGUGGGGGCAACCCUUAUCCAGCCAUGCCGCGUGUAUGAAGAAGGCCUUAGGGUUGGAAAGUACUUUUGUUAGUGAAGAAAAGUCAGCUGUGAAUAAUGGCUGAUAUUGACGGUACCUAAAGAAUAAGCACCGGCUAACUACGUG